UACGGGGGGGGUAAGCGUUGUUCGGAAUUACUGGGCGUAAAGGGCUCGUAGGCGGCCAACUAAGUCAUACGUGAAAUCCCUCAGCUUAACUGGGGAACUGCGUGUGAUACUGGAUGGCUAGAGUUUGGGAGAGGGAUGCGGAAUUCCAGGUGUAGCGGUGAAAUGCGUAGAUAUCUGGAGGAACACCGGUGGCGAAGGCGGCAUCCUGGACCAACACUGACGCUGAGGAGCGAAAGCCAGGGGAGCAAACGGG
rnacentral:rRNA from 1 species